rnacentral:rRNA from 1 species
UACGGAGGGGGCUAGCGUUGUUCGGAAUUACUGGGCGUAAAGCGCACGUAGGCGGCUUUGUAAGUUAGAGGUGAAAGCCCGGGGCUCAACCCCGGAAUUGCCUUUAAGACUGCAUCGCUUGAACGUCGGAGAGGUGAGUGGAAUUCCGAGUGUAGAGGUGAAAUUCGUAGAUAUUCGGAAGAACACCAGUGGCGAAGGCGGCUCACUGGUCCAUUACUGACGCUGAGGUGCGAAAGCGUGGGGAGCAAGCAGG